rnacentral:tRNA from 1 species
GAAAUAUGUAGAAACAAAAAAAAGCCGCUAACUUUUAUUUUUAAUGGUUAAACUCCAUUUAUAUUUCU